GUGGGUAGUUUGACUGGGGCGGUCUCCUCCUAAAGAGUAACGGAGGAGCACGAAGGUUGGCUAAUCCUGGUCGGACAUCAGGAGGUUAGUGCAAUGGCAUAAGCCAGCUUGACUGCGAGCGUGACGGCGCGAGCAGGUGCGAAAGCAGGUCAUAGUGAUCCGGUGGUUCUGAAUGGAAGGGCCAUCGCUCAACGGAUAAAAGGUACUCCGGGGAUAACAGGCUGAUACCGCCCAAGAGUUCAUAUCGACGGCGGUGUUUGGCACCUCGAUGUCGGCUCAUCACAUCCUGGGGCUGAAGUAGGUCCCAAGGGUAUGGCUGUUCGCCAUUUAAAGUGGUACGCGAGCUGGGUUUAGAACGUCGUGAGACAGUUCGGUCCCUAUCUGCCGUGGGCGCUGGAGAACUGAGGGGGGCUGCUCCUAGUACGAGAGGACCGGAGUGGACGCAUCACUGGUGUUCGGGUUGUCAUGCCAAUGGCACUGCCCGGUAGCUAAAUGCGGAAGAGAUAAGUGCUGAAAGCAUCUAAGCACGAAACUUGCCCCGAGAUGAGUUCUCCCUGAGACUUUAGGUCUCCUGAAGGAACGUUGAAGACGACGACGUUGAUAGGCCGGGUGUGUAAG
rnacentral:rRNA from 1 species